rnacentral:rRNA from 1 species
CAAUAGCGUAUAUUAAAGUUGUUGCAGUUAAAAAGCUCGUAGUUGGAUUUCUGGGUCAGCAGCGGCGCCACCACGUGUGAGCAGCUGCAGCUGUGCCCAUCCUUUGUGGAGACUGCUUCUGGCAUUCACUUGUUGGGAGUAGGGUCCGCAUCAGUUACUGUGAGCAAAUUAGAGUGUUCAAAGCAGGGUGGCUGCCCUGAAUACACUAGCAUGGAAUAACAGACACGCCGUUGGGGUUGUGUUCUGUUGGUUUGAGCCCCAAAGGAAUGAUUAAUAGGGACAGUUGGGGGUAUUCAUAUUCCAUUGUCAGAGGUGAAAUUCUUGGAUUUAUGGAAGAUGAACCACUGCGAAAGCAUUUACCAAGGAUGUUUNCAUUAA